rnacentral:rRNA from 1 species
CGGUAACGACACUAGCUUGCUAGUGGUCGACGAGUGGCGGACGGGUGAGUAACGCGUAGGAAUCUACCUAGUAGUGGGGGAUAGCCAAGGGAAACUUUGGGUAAUACCGCAUACGAUCUAAGGAUGAAAGGGGGCCUCUCUUUGAAGCUCUCGCUAUUAGAUGAGCCUGCGUAAGAUUAGCUUGUUGGUGGGGUAAUGGCCCACCAAGGCGACGAUCUUUAGCUGGUCUGAGAGGAUGAUCAGUCACACUGGAACUGAGACACGGUCCAGACUCCUACGGGAGGCAGCAGUCGGGAAUAUUGGACAAUGGGGGAAACCCUGAUCCAGCCAUGCCGCGUGUGUGAAGAAGGCCCUAGGGUUGUAAAGCACUUUUAGUAGUGAGGAAGGCUCAGUAGUUAAUACCUACUGGGAUUGACGUUAGCUACAGAAAAAGCACCGGCUAAUUUCGUGCCAGCAGCCGCGGUAAUACGAAAGGUGCAAGCGUUAAUCGGAAUUACUGGGCGUAAAGCGCGCGUAGGCGGCUUGGUAAGUUGGAUGUGAAAGCCCCGGGCUCAACCUGGGAACUGCAUCCAAAACUGCCUAGCUAGAGUAUGGUAGAGGAU